AUUCUGACUCUACCCUUCGUCGCGGACGCGUACACUUCGCGGGACAUCUGUCCUGGGAUCUCGUGGCCGGUGUUGUUGCUCAAGCUCGACGCACUUCCCGUCCGCACUGUGUUGUCGUGUAACCCGUCGGCGACCAUUUUCAAUGAGAAACAUGCCGAAAAUGAACUGAAAACAGUGGCAGAACAGUGCGUGUGUGUGUGUUAUAUGUGUGUGCGCCUAUCGGUACUGUUAGAAUAGAGUGAAAUCCUUCGUUUCGAGAGUCUCCUUCCCACCAGGAGCUACCGUUUGCCAACCAAUAUUUGGCCCAAUAUAUCUACCCUAAUUUCGGGAAGGGGUAGAACACGCCACGAGGGAACGAAGGCGCCCCGCCCCGUUGGCUCAUGAUUAUAUUUCACUGUCGUACGCAGUUUUAGCUUCGGUUCUUUCGCCCGUUUCGUUCGUGCUGAAGACGCAGCAAGAAGAUCCAAAAUGGUCGAGAUUAACAAGAAACUGUUGCCCAUGAAGGCACACUACUUCCUCUUCAAUGCAGGAACGGCUCCAGUAGUGCCUUUUAUGCCGACGCUCGUGCGGCAGCUCGGCUUCUCUACGGUGAUCGUCGGAACGAUCUACACGGUCCUGCCGAUCGUGGGCAUGCUGGUGAAGCCCCUGUUCGGCAUCAUUGCCGAUCGGUUUCAGCGCCAGAAGCUGCUGUUUCUGAUCUUUCAGAUCCUUACAGCCGUUCCGUUCUUUCUGAUCAUGUUCAUCCCGGCGAUCCCGCAGGACUCGACCGUCACAUUCCACUGCCACAAUGGGGCGGCCGACCUGAAGUACUGCCCGGACAAUGGGACCAGCAUUGACGCGUGCUUGGUGGAAAGCAUCACCACGAACGAGAGCAACGGCACGCUGCUGUGCGAUAUGGAGUGCCGCACCGAGCCGUGGAUGUGGGACACGGUGUGCAAGUACUGGAACGUGUCGGCGUACUGCGACGAGAAGAACAUACCGGCCGAUCGUAUUCUCCGACUGACGGGCGUCGUGCCCAACAACCACAUCAAUCUGGUCGACGAGUGUCUGUACUUUAUGCUGCGCGAGGGCCAGAUGGACGGCGACCGGGUACCGUUGUACUGUCCCGCGAACACGACCGACUUCCGGACGAGCUGCCAGGUGCAGUGCAACAACGAGCAGGUGAUGGGUGCGAUCUCACACUCGAAGAUUGCCGACGGCGACGUGACGGGGCUGUAUCAGUUCUGGUUGCUGUUCCUGUUCCUGAUCGUCAGCUGGGCCGGCAUGGCCGUGGUGGUUAGCGUCGGCGAUGCGAUCUGCUUCGAGAUGCUGGGCGACAAGCCGCACCUGUACGGCAACCAGCGGCUGUGGGGUUCGAUCGGCUGGGGCACGGUGUCGCUGUUUGCCGGGUUCCUGGUCGACACGCUGUCCGAGGGCAAGCUGACGAAGGACUACACGAUCGUGUUUUACAUGACGAUCGUGCUGAUUGGGUUCGAUAUGCUUUGCUCCUCCAAAUUGCAGCACACCCAGACACGCCUGUCCACCAACAUUCUGAAGGAUGUUGGCAAAAUAUUUGUCAACUUCCGGAUUUGUGUCUUUUUCUGCUGGUGCGUGCUGAUCGGCUUCGGAACGGCACUGAUUUGGAACUUUUUGUUCUGGCACUUGGAGGACCUGGCCAGCGCCCAGGAAGGAUGUGGCCAUUCGACUUGGAUUAAAACGCUGGAAGGCAUCAUCAUGUCGAUCCAAACGUUCGGCGGUGAGCUGCCAUUCUUUUUCCUGUCCGGUUGGAUACUGAAAAAGAUUGGCCACAUCCACGCGAUGAGCCUGGUGCUGCUUGGGUUCGGCGUACGCUUCCUGCUGUACUCGCUGCUGACCGAUCCGUGGUGGGUCAUACCGAUCGAGUUCAUGAACGGUAUCACGUUCGGUCUGUUCUACGCAACGAUGGCAUCCUACGCCAGUAUCGUUGCACCGCCCGGCACAGAAGCAACCAUGCAGGGACUCGUGGGAGCAGUGUUCGAAGGUGUCGGCGUCUCCCUAGGCAGCUUGCUGGCCGGCAAUCUGUUCCAUCGUAUCGGUGGCAGUGCAACGUUCCGCGCGUUCGGCACGGCGGCGCUCAUACUCUUCGUGCUGCACGUCGUCGUGCAGAAGCUGACCGACCGCUUCAGCAGCCAGGGUAAGCAAAAGCAACAGAAAAUGAACGGCUUGACGGACGUUAAGCUCAAGGAAAACGGAACGCAUUGCGGGUCGGGUGGCGGGCUGGGCGAGAACGGUCUCUCCAACGGACAGCUGGGCAAAACCGGCUCCAUCCUGUCGGAGUCCACCGUGCAGGAGGUGCUGCACGAAACCGACCAUGAACAGGACCAGCUACACGAUUGCCCCCCCGCCAGCCGGGCAGAAGGGCAGAAGAAUGCCUCCAACGGGAACGUGGCCGGACACGAGGGAGAAAAACAGCCGAACGGCAAUACGGCCGCCGCCGCCGCUGUCCAAGGCCAGUUGUACGAAGUGCCAUUAAAUUAGGUCGGACGGGAGAGAUCGCUUCUUCCUCCUACUAUGUUGUCCUUUCAACAAUUCAACAUGAUAUUACACAUCCGGGCAAAAUGGAAGGGGGUUUGGAAAAUCAAUUAGUUGUAAGCUCGGGGGAAGCCCUUCACGCCCGCGUACUGAUACCAUUUACAUUCUCGCAAUCUGCCACAACCAUUGCCACGACCACACAUACAACACACAUACAAACGCAUACAUACGUACACACAAAAAAAGACCACUUCACCUCACCAAAUCCUUCCCAUCGAACGGAUUAUGGACGUACAAAGAACGGCGGUUCAGUUUUUUCUUUCGGUAACUGAUUGAUAGUUUGCGAUAAGUUUGCAUUUAUGUCUUUUGUUGGUUUUUGAUUUUGACGGUCCCCUAUCUUUCUACCUGCUAUGAUGUUCGUAGACUAGCAUUGUGUACAAGUAAUAAAUACGAUUUAUAAUUCAUCAUUAGUUGCUUCCCUGCCACGUUGAGUAGUUCAUUUACCGGACCAUGCGACGACACGCGUUCUCUGACAACAUUACGAAAUAAUAUAAAAGAAACAACAAAAAGGGGGUUUGUUGCCCUAAACAUGGUUGCAAUCAGUAACAAAUGAAAUAGGAAGUACAAAAACAACACGUUUUUCGCUACCAUAGCGACCGUAGUACAAAGCGCUUCAAUCAACACGUCUCUUUCGUACGCAACCACAAGCCAUCUCGCCCCAGACGCAAGAAACGCGUCCCGGUUACGCACCACCAAAGGAGGCGCUGGAAAACGUAGAAGACGAUGAACCGAUCGUGCCCGGUGGCAGCUAUCAGAAGUAAUGGAAUGGAAGGAACGUUGACUAGCGCCACACGCGACGGAAGCAUAUUUUAUCGUGUCCUGUCGUGUCUCUGACUAUCGUUUUUUUUUUAAACUCUGACGAAAUGCAUUUAACUAACUUUAUCCUACAAGUGAGACACAUUCCAGUGCGUGUAUGUGCGUGUGCGUGUUCUUAGAAUAGAUACGUGUGUGUGUGCAUGUGAGUAAACGGGUAUAUUGGGCAUUAUUGCAGAGAUCAGGUGUGUUUUUUUACAAUAUUUACCAAUAAUAGAAGUAGAGUGAAAUAAAGCUCAUUACAUAGUGAAGAAACGA